UUGAAUGAAUCGCAACAAUCUUAUCAUUAUCCCCUAAUCCAAUAGAUGUAAUCAAUUCCAAUGAAUUUUCCAGUCCAUUUUCUUCAUAAACAUCUAAAAUCCUCUCAUCAUCUUGUAAUGUACCUAACUUAUGUAAUUCUCCUUUAAAUAUUAUAUAAUCUUUUUCUUUCUUUUCUUUUAAAAUCAUCAACUUUUUUAUACAUAAUAUUUCUAUUCUCCAAAAUAUCAAUAAAACUUGCAUCAAAGGCACCUUCAUCUAGCAAGAGUACCUCCUCUUUUGUACCUCCAUAAUCUCGCUUUAUAGUGGUACCUCCCGAAAAUCCUUAAAUCCUUCAACAAUCUUUG
rnacentral:lncRNA from 1 species